rnacentral:rRNA from 1 species
GGAGGGGUGCAAGCGUUGUUCGGAAUUAUUGGGCGUAAAGAGCGUGUAGGGCGGUUCGGUAAGUCAGAUGUGAAAGCCCUGGGCUCAACCCAGGAAGUGCAUUUGAAACUACCAGACUUGAGUACGGGAGAGGAGGGGGGAAUUCCCGGUGUAGAGGUGAAAUUCGUAGAUAUCGGGAGGAAUACCAGUGGCGAAGGCGCCCCUCUGGACCGAUACUGACGCUGAGACGCGAAAGCGUGGGGAGCAAACAGGAUUAGAUACCCUGGUAGUCCACGCCGUAAACGAUGAGCACUAGGUGUAGCGGGUAUUGACCCCUGCUGUGCCGUAGCUAACGCAUUAAGUGCUCCGCCUGGGGACUACGGUCGCAAGACUA